CCACAUUGCCCAAAAAAUGUUAAAAAAAUUUUUCCGGAAAAAUUAUUUUGGCGACCUCCCCCCCCCGUCGCCAAAAAAAUUUCGGUCAGUGUACCAUUUUAGGGGUCAAAAAAAUUUUCCGGACAACCAAUAUUUUUCGGAACAUAAUACAAAUUUUCCAAAAAUCACAAAAUUUGCCAAAAAAUUUACUUAAUUUUAGACAAAAUUGACAUAAUUUGUCCCAUUUUUUUUAAUUGCAAACCAAAAUUGCCCAAAAAUUUUGCCCAAUCUGCCCAAAAAACUGGGAUAUUGCCCAACUGCCCAAAAAACUGGGGGGGCUACCGCCCCCCCCGCCCCCCCGCCCCGUACGCCUAUGUUUAAAGAUUAUGAAUUGAUUUCCUUUGCAGACUUGAAUAGCGAUAUAUAUGAC